rnacentral:rRNA from 1 species
CCUACGGGUGGCAGCAGUGGGGGAUAUUGCACAAUGGGGGAAACCCUGAUGCAGCGACGCCGCGUGUGGGAAGACGGUCCUCUGGAUUGUAAACCACUGUCCCCAGGGACGAAGAUGACGGUACCUGGGGAGGACGCUCCGGCUAACUACGUGCCAGCAGCCGCGGUAAUACGUAGGGAGCGAGCGUUGUCCGGAAUUACUGGGUGUAGAGGGAGCGUAGGCGGGACUGCAAGUUGGGUGUCAAAUCUACCGGCUCAACCGGUAGCCGCACUCAAAACUGCAGUUCUUGAGGGAAGUAGAGGCAGGCGGAAUUCCUAGGGUAGCGGUGAAAUGCGUAGAUAUUAGGAGGAACACCAGUGGCGAAGGCGGCCUGCUGGGCUUUGACUGACGCUGAGGCUCGAAAGUGUGGGGAGCAAACAGGAUUAGAUACCCGUGUAGUC